ACUCAAUCCAUUAUUAUUUCCCUUAGUGGAUAGCAGAGGGGUGUUUUAAUCUUUCCCCAUUGGGCCUUCUUGAAGGAAGUCUACCCACCCUUUGGUUUCUCUCUCUUUUAUCUCUUUUGCUGGCUCUUGGCCUGUGUUCAGUGUGGGCCCCUGGACCACAGCACCUGCAUCUCUGCCCACCCCCAGCCCAAAAGGAAGUGCCUCUAAAAAAGCAGAGUUGGGAGUGGCCUUUCUGCUCUUUGGUCCCAACCUUCAAGGCUCCUCCCAUCCCAAUCACAAUAUAAUAAAACCAGUGACCAAUGGAGGGAGAGUCCUUGGAGCAAGUUUAGAACCAGGACCCAGAAGAAAGGGUCAAGGGAGAAUCUCUCUGGUGUCUUGCAGCUAGGAGCAUGGGGGGAACCCUUCUCUUGCUUUUGCUUUCCCAACUUCCUGCUCACUUGUCCUGUGCCCACAUGAAGCAGGAGGUCUCUGUCACAGGCAUUCAGGGGAGCUCAGCUCCAAUCUCCUGUCAGGUCUCUAAUGCUGCUUCCAGCUGGAUACACUGGUACCGGUUUCAGGAUGGGAAGCCCCCACAGCGCCUUCUCUACUUAAGUCUUAAAUCAGGCAAUCUGCAUUUUGAUGAGGGCUUUGGCAGUAAUAAAUUCCAUGCUUUUAAGGAUCAGUUUAAUGGUGAGAAGUUUAUCUUGUUAAUCAAAAACCUGGAAGUGAGAGACAGUGGCAUGUAUUACUGCGCUAUCUGGGACGACCACGGUGCACCAGGAUGCAUCUCCUCCCUACACAAAAGGCCCUGCUGGCAGCAACUUGGAGCAGCUGGUGCUGAACAAAGCAGGGAAAGCUUCUGCUUCAACCCUACCCUGUCCUUACUCUCCUCAGCCUGUGAAGGACCUCAGCCAAUCUUCCCUCCAUGGAUGGAGAAAGUCCUUCCUCGAGCCCAACAUACCCCACCACCCUCCUCUCGUCUAAACCCUUGAGAAAAUUCAUUGAGGGUGUACAAGUCCAUCCUAAAUUUCCCCGAAGCUAACUGAACACCAAGUGUUUAUGCUUGGACAACUCUCUAAGGUAAGGUUAAAGGUCACAAUGUAAUAAGAAGAUUGGCCAGUGGAGGGAGAGUCCUUGGAGCAAGCUUAGAUUUGCCCCCUCUCAUGGAUUACAUGAGGAAUGCCAAAGGAGCUAAAUUCUGAAUGGAGCUUACACACCAAAAGAUGGAUACAGUCUUCCCUUGGCUCCUUUGUCUGUUUACUUCCUGACUUUGAUGGACCCAAGAACUCCUUAGAGCUGCAAAGUGGGAGAGGAGCUGUGGAUGUCCUGAUUCCCACCCUCUUGCCACGUGUCCUUGAACACACGGCACCUCUUUUGGUAUGUGUUUCUUCUUUCCUGGUCUUGGACAAUUGAAUAUUCCAAGAAGGGAGUACCCAAGUGACUGGUGAGACUGGAAGAGCCAUCAAAGCCAUCAAGAGUGGCUGAAGCCAGGAACAACAUUAUCCACUUCCAGGGAGAAGUCAGCCUGGUGGUGGAUUGGCCUAUCAGCUGAAAUGCCACAACCUGGAAACAACCAGCCCAGUGGAUCCAGGGAGCAGCUACUCCUUCACUAGUGCCUCCCUUUAAACUGAGGGGAGGCCCCUCCAUUGGGGAAUGGCUGAACAAAUUGUGGCAUAUGAUGGUGAUGGAAUACUAAUGUGCUGUAGGAAGUGAAAUACUGUGGAAUGAUGAAAUGUGACAGACUUUACUACUAACAGCAAUGCAGGGAUCCAGGAUGGAUUGUGAGGGACUCACGAAAAAGGAUGCUCUCCAUGCCUAGAGAAAGAACUGUUGGAGUAAGAAUGCAGAUAGAAGCAUAUGAUUUAUUGCUUGUUUAUUUGGGGGUAUGUUUGGGGGUUUUGCCUUUCAUCUGAUGACUCUUACAAAAAUGAAUAAACCAGAAGUAGGUUUUGUGUGAUAAUGCA
ensembl:lncRNA